GGGGAAUAAAGAGUACAGUAGCAGUGACUCCGGCGGGCGAAUGUGUAGUUCAUCGGGACGCUGGAUUCAGGGAACCGAUAUAGCAACAAAGCCUCGGUAGAGUUUGCUGCUGGAAAAUUGACUAAUGGCCUUCAUCUAUAUCCUCAACUAGGUAUCAAUUGGGAAAAUACCAGAUCUAUCACCUAAUCAUGUCACUAUAAGUUAAUUUCAGCUGAAAUGAAGUUUCUGGAUUGGUACUUGAGGAUUGGUGUCUUGUCAGCUUUGAUUGGAGCCUCUACGGAGUUCUUCAUGAUCAAAACCGGCCUCCGUGUGAAAAAUUUCCCUUCCAUUAUCUUUCGCUGCUCUUGCUUUAGCUACUCAUUAUUGACUUUUCAAAUCCUAUAUUAUGGCCUUUUGAGUUUUCCUGCUGCUGGCUAUGGAUUAUUUGCUGAGCCAAUAUCUUGAGAAAAACAAAUAACUUAAAUUUUUACUGCUAAAUAUAUGACUCCAGAAUUUAUGUGGUUCCAUCAAGGGAAAGCAUCUUGUUCAUCCAAUGAGAAGGCUUUCUUCUUCCUCCAUUCCACAUACCGCUUAACCUAUUGAUUCUACUUUAAAGAACUGAUCAGGCAGUUAUAUCGAUGGGAGUUUUUACUUCGUACUUCAAA